GAUGAACGCUAGCGGGAGGCUUAACACAUGCAAGUCGAGGGGCAGCAUAGGGUAGCAAUACUCUGAUGGCGACCGGCAAACGGGUGAGUAACGCGUAUGCAACCUACCCUGUACAGGGGGAUAACCCGGAGAAAUUCGGACUAAUAUCCCGUAAUAAUAUCCGGAGGCAUCUUUGGAUAUUUAAGGUUUCGACGGUACGGAAUGGGCAUGCGUAACAUUAGCUGGUUGGUAAGGUAACGGCUUACCAAGGCUAUGAUGUUUAGGGGUCCUGAGAGGGUGGUCCCCCACACUGGUACUGAGACACGGACCAGACUCCUACGGGAGGCAGCAGUGAGGAAUAUUGGUCAAUGGGCGCAAGCCUGAACCAGCCAUCCCGCGUGCAGGAAGACGGCCCUAUGGGUUGUAAACUGCUUUUCCAGGGAGAGAAACUUACGCACGUGUUGCGUGACUGACGGUACCCUGGGAAUAAGCAUCGGCUAACUCCGUGCCAGCAGCCGCGGUAAUCACUACU
rnacentral:rRNA from 1 species